UACCAGCACCCCGAGUGGUCGGGACGAUUAUUGGGCCUAAAGCAUCCGUAGUCGGUACUGCAAGUCUUCCGUUAAAUCCACCUGCUUAACAGUUGGGCUGCGGGGGAUACUACAGCGCUAGGAGGCGGGAGAGGCAAGCGGUACUCAAUGGGUAGGGGUAAAAUCCGCUGAUCCAUUGAAGACCACCAGUGGCGAAGGCGGCUUGCCAGAACGCGCUCGACGGUGAGGGAUGAAAGCUGGGGGAGCAAACCGG
rnacentral:rRNA from 1 species